rnacentral:rRNA from 1 species
AGCGAACGCUGGCGGCAGGCCUAACACAUGCAAGUCGAACGAACCUUUCGGGGUUAGUGGCGGACGGGUGAGUAACACGUGGGAACGUGCCUUUAGGUUCGGAAUAACUCAGGGAAACUUGUGCUAAUACCGAAUGUGCCCUUCGGGGGAAAGAUUUAUCGCCUUUAGAGCGGCCCGCGUCUGAUUAGCUAGUUGGUUGAGGUAAUGGCUCACCAAGGCGACGAUCAGUAGCUGGUCUGAGAGGAUGAUCAGCCACAUUGGGACUGAGACCCGGCCCCAACUCCUACGGGAGGCAGCAGUGGGGAAUCUUGCGCAAUGGGCGAAAGCCUGACGCAGCCAUGCCGCGUGAAUGAUGAAGGUCUUAGGAUUGUAAAAUUCUUUCACCGGGGACGAUAAUGACGGUACCCGGAGAAGAAGCCCCGGCUAACUUCGUG